CCUACGGGAGGCAGCAGUGAGGAAUAUUGGUCAAUGGACGAGAGUCUGAACCAGCCAAGUAGCGUGAAGGAUGACUGCCCUAUGGGUUGUAAACUUCUUUUAUAUGGGAAUAAAACGUUCCACGUGUGGGAUUUUGUAUGUACCAUAUGAAAAAGCAUCGGCUAACUCCGGGCCAGCAGCCGCGGUAAUACGGAGGAUCCGAGCGUUAUCCGGAUUUAUUGGGUUUAAAGGGAGCGUAGGUGGAUUGUUAAGUCAGUUGUGAAAGUUUGCGGCUCAACCGUAAAAUUGCAGUUGAAACUGGCAGUCUUGAGUACAGUAGAGGUGGGCGGAAUUCGUGGUGUAGCGGUGAAAUGCUUAGAUAUCACGAAGAACUCCGAUUGCGAAGGCAGUUCACUGGACUGCAACUGACACUGAGGCUCGAAAGUGUGGGUAUCAAACAGGAUUAGAUACCCCAGUAGUC
rnacentral:rRNA from 1 species